rnacentral:rRNA from 1 species
UACGGAGGGUGCGAGCGUUUUUCGGAAUUACUGGGCGUAAAGCGCGUGUAGGCGGUUGAGCAAGGCAGAUGUGAAAGCCUUCCGCUUAACGGAAGAAGUGCAUUUGAAACUACUCGGCUGGAGUACGGGAGAGGAGAGUGGAAUUCCCGGUGUAGAGGUGAAAUUCGUAGAUAUCGGGAGGAACACCAGUGGCGAAGGCGGCUCUCUGGUCCGAUACUGACGCUGAGACGCGAAGGCGUGGGGAGCAAACAGG